rnacentral:tRNA from 1 species
GUUUCUAUGGUUGAGUUACAACGGCAGUUUUUCAGAUUGUUGGCCCUAGUUAAAACCUAGGUGGAAAUU